rnacentral:lncRNA from 1 species
CCAGUUGCAAUUACUACAGGCAUUUGACUCUGAAGACCUCAGCAUGUCUCGAGUACUUACUUAAAGGACCCUGACCUUUGAUGGCCAGCUUUUUACAUAAUGCAUCUGGGAGUAUGAAUACAGCUAGGUUUGACAUGGGCAUGGACAAUGCCUUGCAACGGAAGAAAUUCAACAUAUGAAACAGAAGUAAAGCAGAGCUUCUCUGGCUGAAGGAGGAGGAUUAAAGGUAUCAAGAGGAAGGGUUGAGGGCCACCUGCCAGCCCCUACUCAUUGGUCCUUAGUGGCUCAGGGCUCUGUACUCAUUGCUCUUCAUCCCACUGCUGUGUGCUAUUGUCUUUGUGAUCUUCAUGAUUGGAUUUUGCUUCUUCAAGGAAGAUAUAAAAGAGCCCAAGUAAUUCUGGAAACCAGCAUUUUACCCUUGACCUCCUGCUUUUCAUCCUACUGGUCCUCGCCAGAAGUCGCUGGUUGCCUGGUAUAAGAAAACAAUCAUAAUUAUCUCAUUAAUACUUGGACCUGGCCUCCCUGCUAAUCAGGUUUGUACUGCUGAGAUUUCAAAGGAGAACAGAAAUCUACUAAGAAGAAAUAAAUUGGUUCUCAGGCUAUAAAUAGUUCUAGGAAGCUGCCCAGGGACAAAAAUUUGCCUGCUGGUGAAAUAAAAGACCAUGUAAACUGUAGAUUUAUUUGGAGAGUAUAGUUCCAUGAAUUUAACUGGUCUAGACUCUGGGCCUCUGGAAGGCAGAGACCAUGCUCUCAGCCUUGCCUUUAGUACCUUGUCUGUAACAGGCUAUCAGAUAUGUUGAUUGUGUCAAAGAUAAGCAAAUUCUGAAAUGAGUAAUUUUUUUCAUUCUCUAUCCUCUCUGAAUUCACUUAGUGCCUCUCAGAAUGUGUCUGAGUGGAAAGGGAUUUGCACAGGAUAUGUCCAAACAGGUUAUUGUAACUUUGGAGGUAAACUCUUGUCUAUCAUUCCAUGCACUUCAUUAUUAUUUAUAUCCAUUUCUUUCUUUCUUUCUUUGUUUAUUUAUUUAAGUAAUUGGUCAUGAAAUAGACUUGCAUGCUGAAUACUGAAAUGUGGUGUUUGACACUUGUAAAUUAUUCCAGAUUAUAUAUGAGACUAUAAUAGAUAAAAGUGAUUUAGAUAAUAAAGUGAUCUGUAAUUGAAGUAAAUGAGAGCUGGGUGCUGUGGCUAAUGCCUUGUACUCCCAGCACUUUGGAAGGCUGAGGCAGUAGGAUCGCUUGGGUCCAGGAGUUUGAGACUAGCGUGGCAACAUAGCUAGACCCUGUCUCUACAAAAAGUAAAAAAUUAACCAAGUGUGGUGAUGCGCACCUGUAGUCUCAGCUACACAGGAGGCUGAGGUGGGAGGAUCACUUGAGCUCCAGAUGUUGAGGCUGAAGUGAGCCAUAAUCAUCCUACUGCACUCCAGCCUGGGUGACAGAGGAAGACCAUGUCUCAAAAAAAAAAAAAAAAAAAAGAGAAGUAAAUGAAAACUUAGAGAAAUAGUAGUUGCAACUUCCAAACCAAAGCUUGUAAUUCUGGUCACUAUGACUUGGAAAUAUUUUCCAGAACAACUGUGACUCUUGCCGUUGCUCUAUAAAAUACUGGCAAGGUCCAAAAGGGAAUUUUCCCCCACUGUGUAUAAUAUUAUUAGACAGAUGGUAUUGUAUAGAUGUUCAUAAUGAUAAUUUUUUAAAAUUAGCACAGCAAAUAUUAACUGAACAUGAUCUUCAUGUCCUGUUCCACACAGGUUGUAUUUGUUGAUGUGGACUCUGAUAAAACUGAAAGUUCUUUACUAAUGAAUGCAAAACCAUCUCAUUGCUUACAUUCUUUCUAGAAUUUGCAUAUGCAAAGAUACAAAUUCCAGAAAUAGCACUCAAGAGAACAGUCUGUAGAAAUCUUGUCUAACAACUCUAAAUUUUCAAUCAGCAUUGAAUCAGAAUUAUAGCCAUAGUUCUCUGAAUUAUUCAUGAUAAAUAGAUGACUGGCUACCCAUGGGACUCUGAUACAGCGCUUUCAAUGUGGUAAAAUAAUUAGAAUUGUCAUAUCCACUCUUUGUAAAAUUAUGAGAACUGUUAUUUAUUAAUAGCAAAUGUCAUAACAUAAUCCAACUGUUAUUUUCC